GGUGCUUCCUCUCCCCAGGCAGGAGCCGGGUGUGCAGACGGAAGGGCUGUGGGACGGCACCGCAGGACUGCGCAACAGAUGAAGAGGAAAGAGGCUGCGCAACUCUGGCUAUAGGGCAGCAAUGGGAGUGCUUUAAGGGACAACAAGGCACAAAGAUGGAUGACCUGGAGCCAGGCUUACGGAGGAAGGCCAGGAUGGCAGGGUGCCCAGUGUCUGCCCACCAGCCCCUCCCCCAUUCUGAGGGGCUGUCUUCAUCUGGGCCCCACUCCCCUGCUGGGAGUGAGGGACUAGGGGAGGCCACACCACCGCUGUCACGGAAGGGACAUUCCCCAGUCAUUUGGAACUAAAGGUGAGCCAGCCCAGACAGACAGAGGAUGCACCAGCAGCAGGAAGCCGAGAGGCUGCAGUUCAGUCCCCACAGCACAGCCUGGAGGAGCCAGAAGGAAGAGAAACAGGCACACACAUUGCCAGAAACAAAACUUGGGCCAGGUUGAAAGGCUGGGGUGUUUGGGGGAGGAAAUCUUCAAGGCUUUCCUGCCUGUUGCCAGCACUGUCAUCCAGGGUGCAGCUGGGCCAAUUCCUCCUCAGUUGCAAGCCCCACUGCUGGCCCAGUAACCCCUCAGAAGCUCCAGGAGGCCUAGCCCCAAGCCCAAGACUACCCGGGAUAGGGCCUGAUUCCUGGGCACUCAGAGCCCAUCUGGGAAGGAGGAGGGGGCUGCCCCAGGAGGGGAUUCCAAUGGCGAGCUGGUGGGGGAGCCAGACUUGGCCUGACCAUCUCUGUCUGUAACCCACGCCCUCGCCCCUGUUCACCUGUGUGAUCAGACUGGUGCCAGGUGGGCCUUGGGGGGCUGCUGAGUAUCCUACAGAGCAGGGAGGGAGGUCUGGCCAUCUCCCUUCAGGCAACCACGGGGCAUUCUGGGUGGCUCUCAAGUGGAGCUAGCAUAGCUAAGUGGCCUUUGGGAAGGAGGACAGAAGGACUGUGGGUGGCAGGAGCCCCCUCCUGGUGCAUAGGGUGGGGGCAGCCAGUCCAGAGGAGCCAGGAGUAGAGGGGGGGUUGGCUUGUGGCCUCUUGGCUUCUUGGCUCCUCUUCCCUCUCAGAUCUGGUGCUGCAGGGAUUUGCUCUCUUAUUCAUUCAAUAAAAACGUAUUGAACUCCUUAAGUGCGGCGUGGGGCUCCAGCAUUCAUUGCCAGUCCCUGAGUGUCUGUCUAGGUUGCAGGCCCUUCUCUCCUGGAGCUUUCCCACAGCUGCUGAAAAUGCCGCCAUUUCAGCGGGCACCACACCUGGUGGUUAUAGCCUCUCCCCACUCCCCACCCUGGGCCUGCUUCCUGGCAUGACUGUGAGGUACCUGGGAGUGAAUAACCAUAACCCAGGUGUCCUCAAACUUUUUAAACAGGGGCGUUCACUGUC